UGAAAAAUGCACACAUAUCGUUAUUAACCUAGUGUGCCAUGAACGGCAAUUCGGCAACAGAAAUUACUGUGUCUGGUGAUGGAACGCGGAAAAAGAAGUGACUUAAUUCAUUAAUUAUUUGGAAUGGCAACUCUUAUUGGAACGUAUAGUGGAAAAGUGGCUUGUCAACUAUGGAAAUCAAGAUCUGGGACUGAGGAAUAUUAUACUUGGAUGGAUAAAUAUGAAGAAAAUUGUUCGGCAAAUCAUGAAGAAUCGGCAGGGAAACUGUAUGAAGGAUGAACAAUUAAUCAUCACUAAUUGUGAAGUUACCUAGAAAGAGCCAAAGGUUAUUGGUAGAGGAAAUGUGGUGAAGAGGAGCUUGCUCUAGAAACGUUGAAGCGUUGGAAAUUAUUUAAUUGAAACUGUAAGAAAGAUGUACAAUUACCUAGAUUCAUCACUAAUUAUGAGGUUAUCUAGAAGGAGCCAAAGGAUAUUAAUGGAAAAGGAGGAUAAGGAGCUCGCUCUAGAAACGUUGAAGCUGUGCAUUGAAUUCUAAAUAAUACCCAAAACCUAUCUCGGAAACUACUUAAUGGAAACAGUACAAAGGAUGGACAAUUAUUUAAAUUCACCACUAAUUGUGAGGUUAUCUAGGAGGAGCCAAAGCCAAAGAAUAUUAAUAGAUGAAAUGUCAUCAAGAGGAGAUAGCUCUAGAAAUGUUGAAGCUGUACAUAUUGAAUUCUAAAUAAUACCCAAAAACUGUCUCAGAACCUUCUUAAUGCCUAUCUGAAAGCGAAUCUGUGGAAGAUCUAACAUUUUCUUUUGAAGUGGUUGCUUAUUCUUAUGUCCAAAACAAGAACUGUAGCUCUUAUGCUACAUCUAGGCAAAUAAAAUAAUUCUUAAAAAACAAUGUUAAGAGUUUAAAUGUCUUUUAGAUGUUAUUAUUUAUUAAGAAAAAUAUCGCGAUGUGUGUUAGUAUAAUAAUAAGCCGGCAUAGUAAUCUAUGGUGGUAACUUUCCAGAAAAUUGCUGAAUAUUCUUGACAAUAGUGGUUUGGGUUGCCUACACCUCAAUUAAUUAAUUUAUUUUUUUUCUCAAAUUACAUUUUUUUUUAAAUAUUUAACAAAAACCCAUCAAUAAAAAAGCACUAUUAUUAAUAAUGAUAUAGACGUCGAUAAUUCUUCAUGAGUAUAUCGUCGUCAGGAUCAUUUCCUCUAAAGAAAUGGGUUACUUUUUGUUUUUGUGUCCAAAUUUAUGCAUGCAUAUCAUUAUAUAAAAAUAAACUUGUAAUUAUUAUAUUUUGACUAUAAAAAAUAAAUAAAAAAAGAAAAUACAA